GUAGGUGGCAAGCGUUGUCCGGAAUUAUUGGGCGUAAAGCGCGCGCAGGUGGUUCUUUAAGUCUGAUGUGAAAGACCCCCGGGCUCAACCGGGGAGGGUCAUUGGAAACUGGGGAACUUGAGUGCAGGAGAGGAAAGUGGAAUUCCACGUGUAGCGGUGAAAUGCGUAGAUAUGUGGAGGAACACCAGUGGCGAAGGCGACUUUCUGGCCUGUAACUGACACUGAGGCGCGAAAGCGUGGGGAGCAAACAGGAUUAGAUACCCUGGUAGUCCACGCCGCAAACGAUGAGUGCUAAGUGUUGGGGGGUUUCCGCCCCUCAGUGCUGCAGCUAACGCAUUAAGCACUCCGCCUGGGGAGUACGGUCGCAAGACUG
rnacentral:rRNA from 1 species